CACGUAGGGUGCGAGCGUUGUCCGGAAUUAUUGGGCGUAAAGAGCUCGUAGGCGGUGUGUCGCGUCUGCUGUGAAAACUGGAGGCUCAACCUCCAGCCUGCAGUGGGUACGGGCAGGCUUGAGUUCGGUAGGGGAGACUGGAAUUCCUGGUGUAGCGGUGAAAUGCGCAGAUAUCAGGAGGAACACCGGUGGCGAAGGCGGGUCUCUGGGCCGAUACUGACGCUGAGGAGCGAAAGCGUGGGGAGCGAACAGG
rnacentral:rRNA from 1 species